GAUGAACGCUGGCGGCGUGCUUAACACAUGCAAGUCGAACGAACCUUCGGGUUAGUGGCGGACGGGUGAGUAACGCGUGAGAAUCUGCCCUCAGGAGGGGGAUAACGGUUGGAAACGACCGCUAAUACCCCACAUGCCGAUAGGUGAAAUGAAUUUCGCCUGAGGAUGAGCUCGCGUCUGAUUAGCUUGUUGGUGAGGUAAUGGCUCACCAAGGCUUCGAUCAGUAGCUGGUCUGAGAGGAUGAUCAGCCACACUGGGACUGAGACACGGCCCAGACUCCUACGGGAGGCAGCAGUGGGGAAUUUUCCGCAAUGGGCGAAAGCCUGACGGAGCAACGCCGCGUGAGGGACGAAGGCCUCUGGGCUGUAAACCUCUUUUCUCAAGGAAGAAGAUAUUACGGUACUUGAGGAAUAAGCCACGGCUAAUUCCGUGCCAGCAGCCGCGGUAAUACGGGAGUGGCAAGCGUUAUCCGGAAUUAUUGGGCGUAAAGCGUCCGCAGGCGGCCUUUCAAGUCUGCUGUUAAAGCGUGGAGCUUAACUCCAUUAUGGCAGUGGAAACUGAUCGGCUUGAGUAUGGUAGGGGCAGAGGGAAUUCCCGGUGUAGCGGUGAAAUGCGUAGAUAUCGGGAAGAACACCAGUGGCGAAGGCGCUCUGCUGGGCCAUUACUGACGCUCAUGGACGAAAGCCAGGGGAGCGAAAGGGAUUAGAUACCCCUGUAGUCCUGGCCGUAAACGUUGAACACUAGGUGUCGGGGGAAUCGACCCCUUCGGUGUCGUAGCUAACGCGUUAAGUGUUCCGCCUGGGGAGUACGCACGCAAGUGUGAAACUCAAAGGAAUUGACGGGGGCCCGCACAAGCGGUGGAGUAUGUGGUUUAAUUCGAUGCAACGCGAAGAACCUUACCAGGGUUUGACAUCCUGAGAACCUCUUAGAAAUUUGAGGGUGCCUUCGGGAAUUCAGUGACAGGUGGUGCAUGGCUGUCGUCAGCUCGUGUCGUGAGAUGUUGGGUUAAGUCCCGCAACGAGCGCAACCCACGUUUUUAGUUGCCAGCAUUUAGUUGGGCACUCUAGAAAGACCGCCGGUGAUAAACCGGAGGAAGGUGUGGAUGACGUCAAGUCAUCAUGCCCCUUACACCCUGGGCUACACACGUACUACAAUGCUACGGACAAAGGGCAGCAAACUCGCGAGAGCUAGCAAAUCCCAUAAACCGUGGCUCAGUUCAGAUCGUAGGCUGCAACUCGCCUACGUGAAGUAGGAAUCGCUAGUAAUCGCAGGUCAGCAUACUGCGGUGAAUACGUUCCCGGGCCUUGUACACACCGCCCGUCACACCAUGGAAGUUGGCCAUGCCCGAAGUCGUUACUCCAACCCUUGUGGAGGAGGACGCCGAAGGUGGGGCUAAUGACUGGGGUGAAGUCGUAACAAGGUAGCCGUACCGGAAGGUGCGGCUGGAUCACCUCCU
rnacentral:rRNA from 1 species